UUGAACGCUGGCGGAAUGCUUUACACAUGCAAGUCGAGCGGCAGCGCGGGGCAACCUGGCGGCGAGCGGCGAACGGGUGAGUAACAUAUCGGAACGUGCCCAGUAAUGGGGGAUAACUAAUCGAAAGGUUAGCUAAUACCGCAUACGCCCUGAGGGGGAAAGCGGGGGAUCGAAAGACCUCGCGUUAUUGGAGCGGCCGAUAUCAGAUUAGCUAGUUGGUGAGGUAAAGGCUCACCAAGGCGACGAUCUGUAGCUGGUCUGAGAGGACGACCAGCCACACUGGAACUGAGACACGGUCCAGACUCCUACGGGAGGCAGCAGUGGGGAAUUUUGGACAAUGGGGGCAACCCUGAUCCAGCCAUUCCGCGUGAGUGAAGAAGGCCUUCGGGUUGUAAAGCUCUUUCAGACGGAAAGAAAUCGGGCGCGUGAAUAGCGUGCCUGGAUGACGGUACUGUCAGAAGAAGCACCGGCUAACUACGU
rnacentral:rRNA from 1 species